rnacentral:misc_RNA from 1 species
GCACAAGGUACGAUCAGUUUUUACAGACUCUUCCGAUAGGUUUGUUGUAAAAGCAUGGAUUUUGGUUUUGUGUAUUGCCCCAAAAGGGGGGAAAUCAAGGGGAAUCAUUUUCCCGAGUUGAAAAUUGGGUUGCAUCAAGACGCCGUUUUGAUUAUUAAGCUACCAGAUUCGAGGGCUUUAAGGAUUAUGUCACGGUCUUUGUUCUUUGCAAUGGUUCUUUUCAUAUUGCCGUCAAUUGGGUCCAUUUUAAGAGGCUCAUUCGAUGUAAUUGAUGAUUCUUAUGUGAAUUCUGAUGGGAGGGACUUCAAUGUGUUGCAUAAUCUUUUUCGCGAUUUGGCAGAUGAAGGCCUUGUCAAGAAGGGGCAUAAAGGACUUGUUUUGAGUUCUGAGAAUGAUCGUUUGAUCAAAGAUUUGGAAUUGUCGAAUGACAAUGUGGUUGAUUUGGUGCUUGAUUCGGAUAUGGAUUACAAGAAUUCGAUUCCAAAUGAGACAUUCGAUUUUGCAAUUGCUCAGAAUGAAUGGAACAGUAAGUUCAUUGACCGUGUACUCAAGAUUGGUGGCAUUGUUGUAACUCAACUCAGCAAUGAUCCUUUAGCUGAGCUUAAAGCUCUAGCAAACUACAGAAUCGUGUAUAUUCGACGAUUUGACAAGACUUUGGUGGGAGUUAGGAAAACUGGGGUACUAAAUGCUGAACUGAAUUCACAGAAAAAGGACAUUGUUUGUGGAAGCACACCUGAGGCUAAAAAAGUUGCAUUGAAAGGAUUAGAGGAUGUGUUGCUCGAACCGCCAAAAAGGGCAUUGCUGAAAUCAUUUUCAAGGAAGAUGAAGUUUCUUCCUGAGUUGUUAGGUGAUUCUCUUGAGAAUUACCCUCGAAGAAUCUUCAUUUCUGAUGAGAAAAAUGGGGUAGCAGAAUGGUUUAAGAGGAGCUACCCUGCAAAUAAUCAAGAUUUCGAGAUUUACAACUUGGAUGUUGAAAUCCAAGAGUCAGAGCAAUCAGGGGAUGGAGUAGCCUUAGUUGGGACAGCAGAAUGGUUGAGCAAAAAUGUUAAGGAAGAAGACUACGUUGUGAUGAAGGCUGAAGCAGAAGUGGUUGAGGAAAUAAUCAAGAAGAAAGCAAUAUGUUUGGUAGAUGAGUUGUUCUUGCACUGCAGAAACCAAUUAGAAGAAGUUGGUAAUGAUGAUGAUGAUGAAGAGGAAAAUGGAAGCCAAAAGAGGGCUUAUUGGCAAUGUUUGACAUUGUAUGGGAAGUUAAUAGAUGAAGGUAUUGCAGUGCACCAAUGGUGGAGUUGAAUCUAAGACACUUGAUUUAGCUUUGUCCUUUAUCAGUCUCUUGUUAUUGUUGUUCAUUUCAUGUAUCAUGUGUUCAGUGGUCAUCAGUGGCUUUGGCUUUCUUGUUUGAGCCAUUUGUUGUUUAAUUCUACUCUCUUUCUGUUGGCAUGAAGACUGUUGCCUCAUUUAUUUAAUGUUUU